UACGUAGGGUGCAAGCGUUAAUCGGAAUUACUGGGCGUAAAGCGUGCGCAGGCGGUGAUGCAAGUCAGGUGUGAAAUCCCCGGGCUUAACCUGGGAACUGCGUUUGAAACUGAGGGGCUUGAGUGUGGAAGAGGGGGGUGGAAUUCCAGGUGUAGCAGUGAAAUGCGUAGAGAUCUGGAGGAACACCGAUGGCGAAGGCAGCCCCCUGGGCUGACACUGACGCUCAUGCACGAAAGCGUGGGGAGCAAACAGG
rnacentral:rRNA from 1 species